rnacentral:lncRNA from 1 species
GGCGGCAAGAGGCGCGCUGCAGGCGCCGGGCGCCGGGCUGCGGGUACUAUGGUCUUUUCACAGCCACUUAACUGGGACUUAACUGCAGAUGUAACGGGAGGGUCGUGGAAGGGAACGAAAAUAAAAAGAAGGUCACAGAAAGACGUCUCAGUUUUCCAGAGCUACAGAGCUACAGAAGAAAGCUUAUUUGCUUCAAUGCCUUCCAGAGAAUUUUCCCUUGUUUCAUCCGGGCCGGGUCUGCAGCUACGAUCCGAUCUUUGUUUUUGUAUUGACACUCAUCGACCUUCUUAAUCCUUUUUCUUUAGACCAAUCUGCUUAAUCUCUCUGAUACGGUAUGUGUGUGUGUGACUUGCGCGGCGGAUUUGUCCACUUUACUUUGGUCAGCCUCGACGCCGUCCGGAGCACUUGGCCGUCGCCGACCGUGCUGCUUUCCAUCCUUUGGCGGAUCUCUGCUCCUUUCUCUUGGUUGGCUUGGUUUCUUCCCUUUCUGCACGGCCUGAGCUUAGUGGCGUUUGCCCCUGAGCUUAGUGCCUCGUUCGUAGGGAGGAACCGUUGUUCUAGGCCCGAGCUUCGCCGCUCCUCCGCCGGCGGCGGGGAGAAUUCACCACGGCGUCCACGCCUCUCCGAAGAGGGCCUCCCGGCUGACCAUCCUCCGCUGCGGCCGGAGCGCGCGGUUUGCUGAGCCUCCGUGCGCGUGUCCGAGUGUCCGUCGCUGAUGUGCGCAGUCCACGCAGACCUCGCAAUGGGGGCUGCCGGAGCAAAAAGCUGGCCGGGAUGGCAAGGCCCGUCGCCCGUCGCUGUCUCAGGGCUACGCGUAUGCGAGCAUAUGUAGGCGGAGGCUCACGCGGGACCAACGACGGCACGAGUCUUGCAGAGCAGAGUCGGCGUCGCGGGCCCGCGGCGCCGCCGCAAAAUAUUUUUAAAAACCUCUAAUUUGAAUCGUGAUUAAUAGUCACGAUCCUACUAAGUCAUUUUGUAAAUAUCGGAUGAUAUAUGUGCAUAAAAACUUCUAAUUUGGAUCGCGAUUCGAUUUAGGGAUCUUUUUCAAAACAUCCGAAUCCAACAUUUGCAAAAGCACCCCUGAGUCUGUUUGCUCGGCUGCCGGCCACCGGCGGUGGCGGCAAGCUCGCCUCCGGCCCAACAGACGGCUCCAGGCCGCGUGCGGCCCCGAAGAACACGUCGCCAUCGAUAUCCCGGCCGCUGUCGUGACUCAGCCCGCCCUCGUCCUAGACGCCGCUGCUACGCCGCCGCCGUAGUUGCCGUCAUCGACAUCCCGGACGCCGGACGCCGUCAUCCGGCCCGUCGUCCGUUGCGUCUCGACGACGCGCGUCGGCCCCUUCGUCAGAGCGCUGGCCACCGCCGCGCUGGCUCCGGGGCGCUUCCCCGUUCCUGCAGCUCAUGGUGUUCUUCGCCGGCGUGUUCACGGCCGCGCUGUUCAAAAAAAAGAAAAAAACAAAUCCGUUCUUCCACGGAAGUGAAAACCAAGCCCCAAGCGUACUGGCCCAGCGCUCGUAAGUAGGCAAUGGCCCAUGGACUGUGGGCUGGAUUCGGCCCAUUGACGCAGUAGGAGGGCUCGCGCGAGACACACACGACGCCACCCCUGGCCUUCCUGACUGACGCGUGCGAUCAUAUCAUUCGACUGCGCGAUAGUAGUAUCUUUUCCAAGGAUGGAAAUGGUUACGGCGAGAGUAUGGCGCAUCGCCGCCCUCGAGUCAAAGCAUGUCGAAUCAUCUGAAAGAGAUGCGCUGGACUAGCUUGCACAUGCACAUGCCGGACCGGAGCAGCCCCUGGCGACGAUUUCAGUUGCCUCUGCUGACUGCUCCUGCUGUCCUGCAUCAUCACGGACGACUACUACUGCUGCCACGACAGAGCGGCACCGACCCUUCCAACCCGGAGACGAGAUAGAGCACAGCAGCUGCAGCGCCGCCGUAGCCGGAGAGGGCGAUGGGCACCGUCGAGGCCGGGCUGCCCCUCGCCGACCCGGCCGCCGACGCCGACCGGGCGCGGCUGCAGCAGCUGGGAUACAAGCAGGAGCUCAAGCGCGGCCUCUCGUACGCGCUGUCGAUUCCAUGCAAUUUUCGAUCCGUUCAUCCCUUUCGCUUCUGAUCCCGUUCCUUUUUUCUAGUGUUGUUUCCAACUUCGCCUUCUCCUUCGCCAUCAUCUCCGUGCUGACGGGCGUCACCACGACGUACAACACCGGCCUGCGCUACGGCGGCCCGGCGUCCAUGACGCUGGGCUGGCUCGUCGUGGCCGCGUUCAACGGCUGCGUCGCGCUGUCCAUGGCGGAGAUCUGCUCGGCCUACCCGACCUCCGGCGGGCUCUACUACUGGAGCGCCAAGCUCGCCGGCAAGGAAUGGGCUCCACUCGCUUCCUGGGUCACCGGAUGGUACAGUCCUGCUCAAAAUUUUUAUUCCUGAUCAGUACUAGUUCCCAUAGCUAUCUCGCCGCCAAGCCAAGUAACAAACAAUCAGAUUCAGAAUACGCUCCCGCUUAUCGUUUGAAACAAGCAGCAAUCCGGUUUAAUUCAGUUAUUUUCACCAUGAUGCCAUGGAUGACGUCCUCCCAAGCAAUCAUGUCACGAGUCUAAUUAUGUUUUAUCUUCUGCCCUGUUCUGCAGGUUCAACAUCGUGGGUCAGGUACUCAAAUAAUCUCCAGCUUCACACAGGAUCACUAAUCUUUGGAGUGCAGUGAAGGCAUUAGUGUGCUACUUAUUGUAAUAUAAUCAGGUCGCUGACUGGCACUCUAUUAUGGAGUACUUCCUCUGAUGAUUUGAACUGUCGUACGUGCAGUGGGCUUGCACCACGAGCGUGGACUUCUCGUUGGCGCAGCUUAUCCAGGUGAUCGUCCUGCUCAGCACCGGCGGAGCCAACGGCGGCGGCUACCUCGCCUCCAAGUACGUCGUGCUCGCCAUCUACACCGCCAUCCUGAUCGUGCACGGCCUCAUCAACAGCCUGCCCAUCCAGUGGCUCUCCUGGUUUGGCCAGCUCGGAGCGUUCUGGAAUGUAGCAGGCAUGUAACAGCCAUCGACCCAAAGCAAUAACACUUUUCAUGAUAUCCGAGAAUAUUUUGAAAUCUAGCCACAUUAAUUUGCUCCAUCUAAAUUAAUAAACUGCAGGUGUCUUUGUCCUGGUGAUCUCGAUCCCAUCGGUGGCCAAGGAGAGGGCGAGCGUUGAGUUCAUCUUCACCCACUUCAACACAGAGAACGGCAUGGGGAUCCACGGCAAGCCUUACAUCCUAGCCCUGGGCUUGCUCAUGAGCCAGUACUCCAGCAUCGGCUACGACACAUCUGCUCACAUGGUAAACACUCGAAUUGUGGAUGCCACACCAAGGUAUCCCCACAUCUCUUUCUAGCUACUCAUUCCAUCCCCCACUGGUCGAUUGCAAGUGCAGACGGAGGAGACGAAGAACGCGGAGUGGAGCGGGCCGAUGGGGAUCGUUAGCUCCGUUGCUCUGUCCAGCAUCUUCGGAUGGAUUUACCUGCUGACUCUGACGUCGGUAGUGACCGACAUCCCGUACUUGCUGGACACCAGCAACGACGCCGGCGGGUACGCCAUUGCUCAGGCCCUCUACACCACCUUCCACCGGAGGUACGGCAGCGGCGUCGGGGGAAUCGCCUGCCUGGGCAUCAUCGCCGUCGCCGUCUUCCUCUGCGGCACCGCGUGCGUGACCAGCAACUCGAGGAUGGGGUACGCCUUCUCCAGGGACGGGGCGAUGCCCUUGUCGCGUGUCUGGCAUCGGGUGAACAAGCAGGAGGUGCCCCUGAACGUCGUCUGGCUCUCCGUCUCGGUGGCGUUCGUCAUGGCCCUCACGGUGCGUGCGAUCGACCGUCCCGUCUCUGAACUGCAACCGGCCGGCCGGUUACAUACACCACAUUGACAGUUCCAAAGUGUGCUUCUGUUCUCGACAGUCGCUGCGGAGCCAGGUGGCGUUCCAGGCCAUGGUGUCCAUCGCCACGCUCGGUCUCUACAUCUCCUACGCGCUGCCGAUCGUCUUCCGCGUGACGACGGCCCGGAAGUCCUUCGUUCCAGGGCCGUUCCACCUCGGGAGGUACGGGGUCGCCGUCGGCGCGGCCGCCGUUGCCUGGGUGGCCCUCGUCACCGUGCUCUUCUGCCUGCCGGUGGCGUACCCCGUCGCCAAGGACAACUUCAACUACACGCCGGCGGCCGUCGGGGGCGUGCUGGCGCUCAGCCUCGGCGCGUGGGUGCUGCACGCCCGGUUCUGGUUCCGAGGGCCCGUCACCAACGUCGGCGAGGCGUAAGUUGGGCUGUGCGCCUGCGGCCCAACAGUGCUGUGACGUGUAUUGUAUGUAUUAUGCGGGACACUUCCUCCGAUUUACUAUAACCUUGCAAGGAGCGAACUGAACUUGCCAUUUUCACCUCGGGCGGGACACUGCCUCCGAUCUAUAGAAACUGGAAGCAAGGACCCAAUCCCCGUCACGGCUCCACGUCUUCCCUCUUCUCGGAAAGAAAUUAGAAAUGUUUGCAGGUCUGACGAGUACAGUGCCUAGGCAUCGCACAUCGCAAUCACAGACGCAUGCAUCCCCGGCCCCUUCAGUCAAAACAAAAACAAAAAAAAAUCCAGAAUCCAAUCAUAUGAAAAAGAUUGCUGAUUAGCACUCUGACAUGCCGGAACGAGGCAACCAUUCGAAAUUUCCACACCUUCUGUUGACUCCCUGGGCAUCUAACAUCAGCUUUAAGAAGCUAAUAGUUCGCCACGGAUCUGUCCUAUCAGCAACCUGCGUCUGCGUGCCUACGUGCGGCACCAGGCCGGCCACCAGCGGACGGGAGGACGAUGGAGGCCGUGUCUCGCCGCUCCCUGGAGCUGCCCGUCGCCGGGACGCCGGCGGCCGAUCCAGACAGCGCCCGGCUGCACCAACUGGGCUACAAGCAGGAGCUCAAGCGCGGCCUCUCGUAAGUCCUACUUCGACUCCCAUGCGAUCCCUUCCUUCCUCCUUUCCCGGCCCGCUUCUGAAAUCUGAAUGUUUCACAUGCGUGAACAGCGUUCUUUCCAACUUCGCCCUGUCUUUCUCGAUCAUCGCCGUGAUGAUGGGCGUGACGACAACGUACAACACCGGGCUUCGCUACGGCGGGCCGGCCUCCAUGACGCUGGGCUGGCUCGUCGUCGCGGCGCUCAACGGCUGCGUCGCGCUGUCCAUGGCGGAGAUCUGCUCGGCCUACCCGACCUCCGGCGGGCUCUACUACUGGAGCGCCAAGCUUGCCGGCAAGGAAUGGGCUCCACUCGCUUCCUGGGUCACUGGAUGGUACGCGCUGUUCAGAGUUUUAAUCUGGGUGCUAUAUGUAGCUGGCCAACAAAUAAAUACUUAAAACAUUUACAAUAUAAUAUAUGAUCUUGUGCCUAGUAUAUUAACGAACAAUUGUAUCGGACAAUGAUUCUGUAUCUUAUAUAUACAAAUAUAGAUUUUAUAAAACUCGUUGAACCAUUGUAAUCAAGUUAUAUAUCCUGUGUCUUUUGUCAUUCAGGUUCAACAUCGUGGGACAGGUACGCCGGCUUGAUGCACACAGGUCCUUUGGAAGAACCUUAAAGUAUUCCCAUGAUUUGUUUCGGUACCUAGUUACAUAUAUGCUAGCUAGUAUAUUUUACUUGGUCAUGAACUCAUGCUUGGUCAGCUUAAUUGGACUGUCGUCUGGCUGCACCUAUUGGCAUCCUGGCAUUGGCAUUGUUGUUUCCACACGCGAGCCGGCAGGCCUGAAAAUUCCUUGUGCAUGCCUCAAUCACAUAGCAUUAUGAUUGUGUAGCUCAAAACUGCAAUAUUAAUAGUUCAGUUGGACCGAUAGAGUUUAGAUGCUGAGCAAUCCAUCGAUGUGUUUGCGUGGUUGAACUGUCUGUCACGCAGUGGGCUGGUACCACGAGUGUGGACUUCUCGUUGGCGCAGCUCGUCCAAGUGAUCAUCCUGCUUGGCACCGGGGGGCGCAACGGCGGCGGCUACAUGGCGUCCAAGUACGUCGUGCUGGCCAUCUAUGGUGCCAUCCUGGUCACGCACGGGCUGGUCAACAGCCUCCCUAUCCAGUGGCUGGCAUGGUUCGGCCACCUCGGAGCAUUCUGGAACGCCGCAGGUACAUCUUUAUUUGUCACAAAGAUACAUGCAGCACUUGAAGUUCGAAGAUAACUAUGAUUGUUCGAACAUUUGUACAAGUGUAACAUUGUUGGUGUUAACUGGAUGGAUGGAUCAUGUAUGCUAGGUAUAUUUGUUCUGGUGAUCUUGAUUCCAGCGGUUGCAAAGGAAAGGGCAAGCUUGGAGUUCAUCUUCACACACUUGAACACGGACAAUGGCAUGGGGAUCCACCACAAGGCUUACAUUCUAGCCAUCGGGUUGCUGAUGAGCCAGUACUCUCUCAUCGGCUACGACGCGUCUGCACACAUGGUAAUGAAUAAUAUAAGCCCCGUGCUAGAUAGCCUAGAACAUUAGCAGCACAUCAAAGUUCUGACGACCGAUCGAUCACGAGUGCAGACAGAGGAGACGAAGAACGCGGACCGGAGCGGGCCGACGGGGCUGGUCACCGCCGUCGCCCUGUCGAGCGCGUUCGGGUGGGUCUUCCUGGUGGCCCUGACGUCGCUCAUGACGGAGGACAUCCCAUCCCUCCUGGACCCCGGCAACGACGCCGGCGGGUACGCCGUCGCGCAGGCUCUGCACAGCGCCUUCCGUAGGAGGUACGGCAGCGGCGCCGGGGCGCUCCUGUGCUUGGGGAUCGUCUCGGUCACCACCUUCCUGUGCGGCACCGCGUGCGUGACCAGCAACUCGAGGAUGGGGUACGCCUUCUCCAGGGACGGGGCGAUGCCCUUCUCGCGCUUCUGGUACCGGGUGAACAAGCAGGAGGUGCCCUUCAACGUCGUCUGGCUCUCCGUCUCGGUGGCGUUCGUCAUGGCGCUCACGGUGCGUCUGAUCAUCUCUCCAUAACUGCAUAUGCAAUGCGACUCGUCAGGUAUAACAUGCUAGCUAUCAUCCACGUCCUACAAUGGCAGUCGCUGGGGAGCCAGGUGGCGUUCCAGGCAAUGCUGUCCGUCGCGACGGUCGGAGCGUACAUCGCCUACGGGCUGCCCAUCUUCUUCCGCGUGACCACCGCCCGGAGAUCCUUCGUUCCGGGGCCGUUCCACCUCGGGAAAUAUGGCCUCCUCGUCGGCUGGGUCGCCGUCACCUGGGUGGCCCUCGUCACCGUGCUCUUCUCCCUGCCCGUGGCGUACCCCGUCGCGGAGGACAACUUCAACUACACGCCGGUUUUCGUCGGCGGCGUGCUGUUGCUCAGCGUCGCCUCCUGGGUGCUCCACGCCCGGUUCUGGUUCCAAGGGCCCAUCGCCAAUGUUGACCUGUAAAUAGCCUGUUCUAAACAUACUCAACCAUGAUUUCUCUUAUGAUAAAAUUAGGAUAUGUCUAUAUGCUGCUGGGGUGAUUUGAAAUAUGCGGUCACUCGAGUAUUUUGUAAUGUCAAAUCACACAAAUUAUUGCAUCUCAGAAAUCGAGUGAUUCAAAGCAAGCCAACACUCGAAUUUGUAGUCAUAGGAUUAAACCCAACUGCUGAGAUUUCAAAGCGUGUUAAUUAUUUAUACUAAUAGACAUAUAACUAGUACAAACCUUAUCAUAAAUCAUUAAUAGCUCAACUACUGAGUGCCCUCCUCAACAUUGAAAUGCAAGCAGAUGACCCAGCUCAUAAGAACGCAGUGCCUACUCAAACAAAUGGGUGGAUAGAAAUACAUCUACAAACAAAGACAUCAUAUCAAAAUGACAUGAAAAUAUGACAUCACCUAACAUUUCAACAAUUACACAUUGUUUACAUAGAAAUGACAGUACAAUGCCACUGUCAUUCUAGAAAGUAUGAACUGUAACUACUAAAAUAUGAACAAUAACACUAUAAAAUAUAUUAAAAGGGAAUGAGAACAACUACGUUGAAGAAAAAGGCAUAAGCAAUAAAAGUUGUUGCUGACUAAGAAGAUAAUUUGAAAUCUUACAAAAAUAAUUAGUUAUAAAUUACAGGAACAUAUCAAUAGUCUAGAAGCCAAAACUUAUAAAGAUGUCACGGAUUGAAAAACACCAAACGUAUCGUCUAUAUUUAAGAAAUAUGUUCUCUUGAUUAUUAUAUUAUACAACUCUAGCUAGUAACAUAUGUAGAUCAAAGCUGAGUAGGCAUAGAACAAGUUGUAAUAAUACUUCAACAGAACAAAUGCAAAUAACAUGUAACAAAAGGACUAGCAUAAAAAAAAAGUUGUUUGGAGCUCAUUGCAACGAACCAAAUGCAAAUGACAAAGUUUUGAAGUAUUAAAAAUUGUUCUAUCACAUCCAAGAAACUACAUAUAGUAUGGUUUAAAAGAAAUAGAAUUAAAUAAUCCACAAAUUAAAUAACAGAGAUGCAAAAAAACAUAAUUACAUAUUUCUCAAAAUUAUUCUAUGUUUUCCAAAUUUACAAAAAUUUUGGAAAUGAUUGAAACCCCAUAAAUGCAAAUGCCACAUUUUAAGAUUCAAAUCGCUGACCACGCAAUAUCCCACUACAAAUUUAUGUAGUUACGAGAUAAGUGAAUAAAAUUGCAAGAUAAAAAUUAGUAUAACUUUGUUCACCCAGCAGGUGCUAAAUGAUUCAAGGAAAUUGACAAGCAUGUUGAGAUCUGCAGAAGAACAAAAUUAAUAAUGAUUGGAUGAAUUUAACAGAUAGUUAGACCAAAAGGAGAAAAAAGGAAUGGAAAAUUUAUUGACACCAACAAAGAAAAAGAUGCCAUCAUCUAGAGAAUUAAAUAUGUACAAAGAAUGAUAGUAAAUCCAUUUCUAAAAAUAAAUGAUUCAUCCAAUUGAAGAUAAAAUUAAUCCAGGCAAACAUACCGGAUCAAUUAUUUUUUCCAAGAAUCCUUUAAUGGAUAAAAACCUGAAAUAACCAUUACCAAAAUCAACAAAUGGAUAAUAUGUAGGUUGGUACGGUAACAUACAUAGAACUCAAAGCAAUACAUCUAUUAUCACUAUCUACUUACAUAACACUUCACAAAAAACUUACGUCGGGACACAAACUGUAACUCACAGAUAUUUUUAUUGUAACUCCAACCUCCAACCAAAAGUACAUGUAACUUAUAUACAAGCUCAGCCAUGAAUAAUGGCAUGCAAUGUAAAUAUUGAUAAUGGAAUUCAAAAGGGAGAGGGGAAUCGCUGAAUGCUACAGCCUCACCUGAAUCAAACUUGGAAGGAGAAAGAUGAAACCGUCUCACCCGUGAAAUAGGAUCCAGAAAAUCUGGACGCUUUUGCAAAAAAGACAAACAGUAACUAGUGGUGACAAGUGAGACCCAUAUCAGGGAGACAAACGAAAAUGAACACAGCAGAACGGAUCAUAAGGAGGAGAAGCAACACCAUAAUUAAUCCAACGGUAACAAAAAUCGAGUGACGGAAGGCUCCAGAUCACUUAGGUGAUGUUUAGCUUUUCCUUAAAAUUAUAAUUUAAUUUGAAUGAUCAGCUUAAAUUUACUACCGGAAACGAGAACUUUGCCGAGUGUCAAGAGCUUUGCCGAGCGCAAAAUAUCGGGCACUCGGCAAAGGAAAACACACGGUAAAUUUAUCCUUUGCCGAGUGUCUGGCACUCGGCAAAAUAAAACACUCGGCAAAGAUUUUUUUGCCGAGUGUCGAGUACUCGGCAAAGAAUGACACUCGGCAAAAUCUGAAGAAUCUUUGCCGAGUGUCAGAUCCUCGGCACUCGGCAAAGAAACCAUAUUUCCCGAGUGCCAGGUAUCUGUCACUCGGCAAAGUAACGAUCUUUGCCGAGUACCAGGUUAACGGCACUCGGCAAAGAAGCUAUCUUUGCCGAGUGCCAGGUCCUUGGCGCUCGGCAAAGUAACAAUCUUUGCCGAGUGCCUCAGCGCCGGCGCUCGGCAAAGAUUAUCUCUUUGCCGAGUGCCAAGGACCUAGCACUCAGCAAAUCGUCCGUUAUGCCCCUGCUCCGUCACGGCGCUUAAAUUUUGUUGAGUGCGGAACUUUACGCUCGGCAAAGGCUUCACCGAGUGCCCGUCGAAAUGCACUCGGCAAAGUCCCCUUUGCCGAUAUUUUCUCUUCCGCGUGUCCUUUGCCGAGUGCAACACUCGGUAAAAGCCUUUGCUGAGUGUUUUUGGAGCUUUACCGAGUAUUUUUGACACUCAAAGUUCUCGUUUCCCGUAGUGAUCGGUGACUUUCAUAAUUUUGAAACUUUGCUCCAUAUUAGCAAUUUUGAAGCGACAGCUAGCGUAGAAUGGUCUACAGUAGAAAAAACCGGCCAGUAUGGGAUGUUGGCGACGUGGCUGCUCCCAGUCGCUUGCGUUGACUCCUUGGAGUGCGUGCGCGGCGCCAAAGAUAAAGGGAGAAUUCUCUGGAAGGUACUGGAACAAAUCACGCUUUCUUCUAUGGUUCUGAAAAACUGAAACGCCCUUUUAUGAUCUUCUUUUAUUUUCGUUCUCUUCCAUGGCCUCCUGUUAGACCUGUUAGGCCAAUCUGUUAGGAUUUGAGGUUUGAGAUGAGAAGCAAAAAUUUAUUGGACUGAACUACCCCUGCCACUCCCACACACACCCCGACCCCAUCUCCGCUAUCCUAUCCCGUGAGCCCCGACCGGAGCAGAGGCGGGCGGCGCGCGGACGGCGGGCGGCGAGCGGCUGGUGGGCGGCGGCGCGCGGGCGGCGGGCGGCGGCGUGCAGACUCGGGAGCAGAGUCACCCCAGGGGCGCGGCGGAGGGCUCUCCAUAGGUACUAUUGUCUUUUCACAGUUAUUUAAGUGGGAGUUAAUUGUAGAUGUAAUGGUAGGACCAUGGAAGGGAAGGAAAAUAAAAUCAGGGAAGUUGCAAUUUUGCAGGGCUAUAGAAGGAAGCGUGAUUUGUUUGAGGGUGUUGCAGGGAAUUUUCUCAAAGAUAAACUAGACUAGCAUCAGUAGAUAGCAGGAGCAACCUGCGGCACCUGCAGAGGAUCGACGUGCCUGCUCCGCCGGAGAGCUGACGAUGGCCGUGUCCCGCCGCUCCCUGGAGCUGCCGCCGGCGGAUCCGGACCGCGCCCGGCUGCACCAGCUGGGCUACAAGCAGGAGCUCAGGCGCGGCCUCUCGUAAGUGCUUCCAUCGAUGAGCCCCCAUCCCCUGCUCCUCCAAUCCUUUCGCUAUUGAAUGUUUCUACUCCAUGUAGCGUUCUCUCCAACUUCGCCCUGUCCUUCUCGAUCAUCUCCGUGAUGAUGGGCGUGACGAUAACAUUCAACACGGGCCUGCGCUACGGCGGCCCGGUGUCCAUGACGCUCGGGUGGUUCGCGGUGACCUUGUUCAACGGCUGCGUCGCGCUGUCCAUGGCGGAGAUCUGCUCGGCGUACCCGACCUCUGGCGGGCUCUACUACUGGAGCGCCAAGCUCGCCGGCAAGGACUGGGCGCCCCUCGCUUCCUGGGUCACGGGAUGGUGCGUUCUGCUCGGAAUUUUCCGCUACUAUGAAUCUAUCGUUUGCCAUUUUUGUAGCUAGCUCACAAUUAAAUAUUUAGACACCUCCAAGAAUAAUCAAUGAUGGACAUCGUCAAGUAUAUAUAGAAAACGAACAAUAUGCGAUUAAUAUAAAAGCGAUGACUUUCAAGAACGCCUACCCUAAUUUUAAUCUUGUGUUCUGCAUUGCAGGUUCAACAUCGUGGGACAGGUACGCUGGCCAUUGGUCAAUCUACAUAUACCAGGCUUUUCUUUUAGAUCAUACUAGCUUGGGAGUAUAUUAAAUUUGGUCUUGCGUGCUUGGACCGUCACCUGGCUGCUAAGCGGCCAUCCUGGCAUGUGGCUUCCAUAUGCUGACCGGCUGGCCGCACUUUCAGUUUAUAUUCAGUAUAACUUUUCAAAAAAAGAGAGUUUACAUUCAGUGUAGUAUAUAGCAUACAAUCACUGAUAUCAAUCCUCUGAAAAUUUCGUGACCACGAGUCAUUAGUGCAUCAAUCAUGUAGCUAGCUAGCGUUGACCUUCUUGAUUAAACUGUCACACAGUGGGCUGCUACCACGAGCAUCGACUUCUCCUUGGCGCAGCUUGUGCAAGUGAUCGUCCUGCUUGGCACCGGGGGACAGAACGGUGGCGGCUACAUGGCCUCCAAGUAUGUCGUACUGGCCAUCUAUGGUGCCAUCCUUGUCGUACACGGGCUGAUCAACAGCCUCCCUAUCCAAUACAUGGCAUGGUUUGGCCAGCUUGGAGCAUUUUGGAAUGCAGCAGGUAUUAUCCUUCUCACAACAAAUGUAAAUUUGUAUCUAUGCAAAAAAAAGGUUUAAGCAAGCUACAAGUAGUUAUUCUUGCUAGUUCCCUUUAAAAGAACUAUAACAUUUGAAUGCACACAUUGAUCAUUGGUAUUAACCGGAUGGAUCGGAUGCAUGGUAGGCAUACUUGUUCUGGUCAUCUUGAUUCCAGCAGUUGCUAAGGAGAGAGCAAGUGCGAGGUUUAUCUUCACCCAUUUCAACGUAGACGAUGCCACAGGGAUCCAAGACAAGGCUUACAUUCUAGCUGUGGGGCUGCUAAUGAGCCAGUACUCUGUUAUUGGCUACGAUGCAUCCGCACAUAUGGUAGUAAAUCUUUUUAGCUACGCAUUCAGAAUUUCAGACAAACGAAAACUAACAGAAGCACGCGGCAUGAAGGUUGAUGAUGCAUCUGUUUGCAAGUGCAGACAGAGGAGACGAAGAACGCUGACUGGAGCGGCCCAAUGGGGAUCAUAACUUCUGUUGCUCUGUCCAGCGUGUUCGGGUGGAUCUACCUGGUGGCCCUGACGUCGAUCAUGACGGAGGACAUCCGGUCCCUCCUGGACCCCGGCAACGACGCCGGCGGGUACGCCGUCGCGCAGGCUCUCUACACCGCCUUCCACAGGAGGUUCGGCACCGGCUUCGGAGGGCUCGUCUGCUUGGGAAUCGUUGCAAUCGCCACCUUCCUCUGCGGCUGUGCGUGCAUAACUAGCAACUCAAGGUAAGCGCAGUGCUAUCUGACAGUUACCUCCAUUGUUUUCCGCCUAUCUUUCUGAAACCCAAUCUGAAUGUACACGCAGGAUGGGGUACGCCUUCUCCAGGGACCGUGCGAUGCCAUUCUCGCGCUUCUGGUACCGGGUGAACAAGCAGGAGGUCCCCUUCAACGUUGUCUGGCUCUCCGUGGCCGUGGCGUUCGUCAUGGCGCUCACGGUGUGCGCGCGCCCUGCCCUCAUUUCUGAAGAACUUCAAGUGGUUGCAGCACACUUACAUGCCAUCUCAUAACAUGGCUCAUUUUGUGCUUCAUUGACAGUCACUGGGGAGCCAGGUGGCAUUCCAGGCCAUGGUCUCCAUCGCCACCGUCGGGCAGUACAUCGCCUACGCGCUGCCCAUCGUCUUCCGUGUGACCACCGCCCGGAGAUCCUUCGUUCCGGGGCCGUUCCACCUCGGGAAAUAUGGCCUCCUCGUCGGCUGGGUCGCCGUCACCUGGGUGGCCCUCGUCACCGUGCUCUUCUCCCUGCCCGUGGCGUACCCCGUCGCGGAGGACAACUUCAACUACACGGCGGCCCUCGUCGGCGGCGUGCUGUUGCUCAGCGUCGGCGCCUGGGUGCUCCACGCCCGGUUCUGGUUCCAAGGGCCCAUCACCAAUGUUGACCUGUAAUGGCUCCGUUUCUUGUUUGGAGUCGCAAUUUGAUUUUGAUUAGGUGGUGUUGUAGUAAUGAUUGAUGAUGAUGAUCAUAAUAAUAUUGGGGAUUCGGGAUUCCUUUGAUCUGAUCUCUUCACACAACCGUUCAAUUUACAAUGUUUUUUUAGACGUCUUUCGAAAAAAAUAUACAACGUUUUUUCCCACAUGGGAUAAGGAGGCCCAAACGGACGACGGUGUCGCAUCGUGGCAGAUGAUGGGCUCAGCAGGGCCUGUGAGUGGCGGCCCGUUUGGCCGCUUGCUGUUAGGGUCGGCCGGCCUAUCUGGAUUGGGCCGAUCACGCAGGCCUAGAAGACUAGGCGAGCCCAUGCAGCCUACUCCCACUCCCACUACGCUAAGCGGCGGCGUAGGAAGGCGGCUCCAGCAGCCCAGCGCGCGCGCGGCCCACGGCUCCGAGACAGCCGCCGCCAUGCGAGGGCUCCUCUCCUCUUCCUCCACUCUCCUCCGACGAGCCGCCGGCGCCGCCGCCAAGCUCUCCCGCGCGGGCUGGAGUAACUCCGCAGCAUCCGCACCCUCUUCUCUCCGCCGCUUUCCCCGCCAGGUUUGCCCCCACAUCUCUCUCCGCUCCAUCUCUGCUGGGCUUGUGGCUUGUUGCCAUGUGAUAGGGAUCUGUAGCUUUUUUGUAAUGGAGAAUUUUCAAUCAGAAGGAGAGGAACUAUUUUCUAGUUUCUGCUUUUCUGUUUCGUAUAUGUCUCACUGAUUUCAUAACUGGAGUUCCACAAUUGUUAAUUUGCUCAUAUUUCAAGAUAUUUGCACAAUUGCUGAUCACCUUUUCUUCUCUGUGAUUUUCUAGAGUGGGGAAAGAGAGACAUUUUGUCCGUUUUGGUCUAAGGGUUGUUCGAUGUCAACCACAGGUAUACCCAUUUACCGUAUCAUUGCUCAAAUGGUUCUUACUGUUAGCGUUUCUACCAUAAAAGAUUCCACUGUUCCUUUUAUGAAGCAACUUGUCGAAGUAUGGUAGCAGAGAAUUGAUAAUUUCCAAAGUUGAACGAUUAUUCAUUAGCGUUCUGUAUCCACAAUACCUUGUGAGUUGCAACGUUACUCAGGAAUUUCUACAAAUUUCCAGUUGAUAUGCAGUUAGACUAUGAGAGUGACCCCCCACUUGAUGAUGCAAAAGCUCUUGAGAAGGAGUCGUCACUAAAUGUUGCUGUCUCUCAACUUGCCAGUGAUUUUGAUAGAGAAUCUAAUCUAUGCUUGGAGCGAUUUUCCCGAACAAGGCGUGCAUCUGUCAUCUCUACCGGCUCUCUUAAGCUUGAUCUUGCUCUCAGCACUGGAGGAUUACCAAAGGUCAUAAUGUGUUCCCAUAUCAUUUUUAAGUAUCCAUGUGAUAUACUAUAUUGUUUUAUAUUUCUAGAGGUAUUCACUUGAUGCUUUAAUGUUUCAUAUCCCCUGUUGAUAUUAAACAUAAGAAACAAACUUCAUACACUUAAUGGAUUGCAUACAGUACCUCGUUAUUCCUGUCAACACCAGUAAGUUUUAAAAGUCAUGUUGUUCUUUGUAUCUUUUGAUGCCUAUCUACUCUAUGCAUCGAUUUAACCGCCAUCAAGAGUCGAACUAGUUUAUUUAGUGGCAAAGGUCCUUGUCUUUGCAAUUGGUAAGCAUGCUAGUUUAGUAAUAGUCCUUGUCUACAAAAGUCCACUUUUUUUCUUCAGCGUAUCUGCUCAGUAAAAUAUAAGCACCAGAACACAUUUAUGCUUAUCUCUUGCCUAAAAUUUCUUCUUGACAGGAUCUCUUGCCUAGAAAUGCUGCCAUCAUAAUUGCCCAUGUCUUUAUAGCUGUCUUUCCCUGGUCAGCGUAAUGUGUUGAAUAGCAACAUUUCCUCGAGAAAUUUGAUCCAUGGCAGUAGAUUGUAUUGAACUUGAUGUCUAUCAUUAUGUAAUUUUGGUGCUGCUUCGCAAAUUACUGAUUAGAGUAUCUCUACAGGGUAGAAUGGUGGAGAUAUUUGGGAAAGAGGCAUCUGGGAAGACAACACUUGCACUUCAUGUUGUCAAGGAAGCUCAAAAGAAUGGAGGUCUGAGUUUCUUUUAUGACGCUCUAUUUUUCCUUCCGCUUUUAAUGCUUUGCGUAAUUUAUUGGAAAAAAAAUCCAAAUAGGAAAAUAUUUUAUUUUAUACUCCUGAAAUCUUUUCUCCAUUUUUGACUUCUUUCAUACUACGGGGCUACCUAGUAUGGUUGGUGAUCUUUAUCAAUACAUUUAUAUUAUAUCCCUCUUGCCAGAUUUUAUGAUUUUACUUUACAAGCAUCAGUAAAGAUUGUCAGCAAGUGUGCUCCUGUUCUUACUAUUUAUUAUUUUAGACAGACGAAUCUAUUGAAAUUUUCUUUCUUUCUUCGCGCAAGAUAUUUACUACUGCCUUCUCUUAUUACUGAAUAUUAUCAUACCUGAUUGGCAUUACGACUGCAUAUUUGCAGGUUAUUGCGCUUAUAUUGAUGCAGAAAAUGCUUUUAACCCUUCGUUUGCGGAAGCUAUUGGUGUAGACAGUGAAAGGCUCUUAAUAGCCCAACCUGAUUCUGCUGAAAAUUCUUUGAGCAUUGUAAACACUCUUGUUGGUGGAUCUGUUGCUGUUGUUGUUGUGGAUAGUGUAUGUUACUUCCUACAUCUUUUUCAUAUAUUUAUGUUAUGACUUCAGUUCCUUACUUAUUAUGAAGGUAUGCUCCGCCAAGUAACACAGUGCUAGAAUAUGGAUUAGAGGAACUGCUGAUAGCACUGUCUGGGCAUACCUUCUUCUCUUUCUUUUAUUUUUUUUUCUUUUCCUUCUUUUGAGGCCUGGAAAUCCUAUUUUCAUAUAUCUAUUGCUUGAUUUGCUAUUGCAAUGUUCACCAACCUCAGUAUAUUUGCGUGGCACACACCAUUAUUUACCUUGCUUUUAUUGGACUUGUGACAGGUGGCAGCACUUAUCCCCAAAUGUGAAAUGGAAGGUGAAAUAUACACGAAUUUUGAAGACAUACAAUCCCGUUUGAUGACUCGGGCGCUUAGGAAAAUUCAGUACACUUUGUGUCGCUCUGAAUCACUUAUUAUUUUUGUGAAUCAGGUAUGGCCUUGUUUAUGUAUCUUGGUUUCUUAUUAACAUAAGGGCAACAAUGUUUCUGCCUUAUUUGGGCUAUAUUUAUUGGUGAUAUUCGUAGGUUAGAACGAAGUUGAGCUCAAAUCACUUUCCUGGGAUCUACAAGGAGGUGCCUUGCGGUGGUAACGCGUUAGGAUUCUAUGCUGCAGUCAGAAUGAGGACGUCAAGAAGGGAACUGCGCUAUAAUGAAGACCAGGUAGGUGUCUUACACACAGCCUCAUGAUAACACGUCAAACUUAUGCUGAUACCAAUGCAUUGUGCUUAUGCAGGCUACUGGCAUUAGUAUUUCAGUGCAAAUCAUGAAGAACAAAUUAGCUCCAGCGAGUCUGAAGGAAGCCGGUAUUGACAUCAGAUUUGGGAAGGGGAUCUGCCAUGAAUCUGAGAUCCUGGAGAUGGCUUCUUCUGUCGGAGUUGUUGUGAAGGAGGGGUCUGGGUAUUGGAUCAACGGCGUGUUCCUGCCUGGCAAGGCAGAAGCUGAGAAAUUCCUACAUGAAAACACCGGUGUGGCAGAUGAGAUCUGCAAUACCGUGAGAAAUCAGUUCCUUCGAAGGUGACAAGCGAAGGCCACUGGAAGUUGGCUGGCUCUGAACUUUUCUCGUCAGUCGUCACCUUGACUGGGUACAGUUUUUAUAACAUCUGAGAACAAAAUUGGGGAUUGGGGCACACUGCACUGCCGGGGAAUCAUUUUAAGUAUCUAUUCUACCAUUUAUUCUACAAAGGAAGUGCGAUUAAGGGUGUCAAUUAGAGAGGCUAAUGCAUUGUUAGUCAAUUUGUCUUGAUCUCUGCGUGUGGCAUUGUUGUAUGAUUGUAUCAUGUAUUCAUAGUAGAUUUAUAUAUGAUACCAUUGUAUUAUUAGCUUCUUGCUCUGUAACUUACUGGAUUUUACCUCAGUGAAUCGAGGGCCAUUCCCUCCAAUGCUGCUAGUUCCUAUGUUAGAUAAAUGUGAACCGGUUUCUCCUGAAAUUCUUAUGUUGAUACCAUGGAAUUCCUGUUGCUACGCGGCUUGAUAGCCUGGCAUUCCAGCUUUGCAUCCAUACGUGUGUUGACCACAAGAACUGGCGUACAAGACUCGCCGCGCGCAUUGAUUGUUUCCUGCGCGACACGCUCGCGGACCGUAGCGCCAAGUCCUGGUUGGCAUUGGAAAACUUUGGCAGAGUCUGCAGAGGUCUCCCAAGUCUGCGCCCUCUCUGUACUUGCACUUCUGCGUCCCUGUCCUCUCUCUCCGAGGAUGCAAAAUUUGCACAAGGAAGCAUGCUUCGGUGGCCAUGGGCGCGCCAUUUCUUCGAUCAGCUGACCCUGCCCGGUCUUUACGGCUAAUUGCACGGUAGCCAACUCUGCUCACCACAGUCUCAUUUGCCAGGGCUGAAAAUUCCAAAAAAAAAAUCUCGAAUAGAAAAUUCCAAGUUCCAUCCAGCAGCCAGCAGGCAGGCUGCUUGUACGGCUAUAAAUACAAUCAGGGUUGCGUUGUGAUGAGCAUCCAACUGACUGCAAGAGCGAUCUCUGGAUACUUGCAGCGGUUGCAGAGGCCGGUCGGCGUCGAAGAAGAUGGCUAAGCGAGGCGUUGCUCCCGUGCUCACAGCCGCAUUGGUCGUUGCGGCAUUCGCCGCCACCGCAACAAGUAUCCAUCUUCGAUCUUGAGCUCCGGUGAACCAUGCAUCUGGCUAGCGUAGAGGGAACACCUCGGAGAUUCACUGAACCCAUGUUUUCUGGCUGCGUGCAGGUGUGCGAGCCAUCGGCGUGUGCUACGGCGUGAUGGGCAGCGGCCUCCGGUCCAAGAGCGAAGUCGUGCAGCUCUACAAGUCCAAGGGCAUCGGCAACAUGCGCUUCUACUUCGCCGACCAGGAGGUCCUCAACGCCCUGCGCGGCUCGGGCAUCGGCCUCGCCCUCGACGUCGGCAACGAACAUCUCGCCGACCUCGCCGCCAACCCCGCCUCCGCGGCGUCCUGGGUCAAGGACAACGUGCAGGCCUACUACCCGGACGUCAACAUCAGGUACAUCGUCGUCGGGAACGAGGUGGACGGCGCAGCCUCGGUCCUCCAGGCCAUGCAGAACGUCCACGACGCCCUGACGUCGGCCAACCUCGCCGACCGCAUCAAGGUGUCGACGGCGGUGAAGAUGGACGUGCUCGACGACAACUCCUCGCCGCCCUCCAACGGCGUGUUCAGGAACCCCUCCGUGAUGUCGCCCAUCGUGCGGUUCCUCGCCAGCACCGGCGCGCCGCUGCUGGCGAACGUGUACCCCUACUUCGCCUACAAGGACAGCCAGGGCAUCGACCUCAACUACGCGCUGUUCGAGCCGAGCUCCACGACGGUGAGCGACACCAACGGGCUCACCUACACGAACCUCUUCGACGCGAUGGUGGACGCCGUCCACGCGGCGCUGGACAAGGUCGGCGGCGGCAGCGUGGACGUCGUGGUGUCGGAGAGCGGGUGGCCGUCGGCCGACGGGAGGGGCGCCAGCGUGGAGAACGCGCGGACGUACAACCAGAACCUGAUCAGCCACGCCGGCAAGGGCACGCCGAGGAAGCCGGGCCCGAUGGAGGUGUACGUGUUCGCCAUGUUCAACGAGGACGGGAAGGGCGGCGACCCCACGGAGAAGAAGUUCGGGCUGUUCAAUCCGGACAAGACACCGGUCUACCCGAUUAAUUUCGCAUGAAAUUAAGUGACGCAGGAGUAGCAGCAUACAGGCCGGAUUUCUACGCAUGCUUCGAAUACUGCAUAUACAUAUACUACUGCAUGUAUGAAUAACUUUUUUUGCAACCAUAUAAAUAAAUAACGAAAUGAAUAAGUGGUUUAUUUUCAACAAAAAAAAAUGAAUAAGUGGGUACUGGCAUACUGUAUACACAAAGAAGGACCGGGUAUCAAUUUUAAUUCUGUGUGAACGAUAUGUUCAGCCAAACUGAAGCUUGUCUGCAAGUUUAUUUUUGUCGCGAGAACUUGGAAGUUUUCGAAACCAAAUGGGGGAACUAGUAGAUAGCCAAACAGAUACAGUACGUUGACUCAGAGUCAGCACAAGUCCACACGAAAACAAGCGCGCGGGGACCUGGACCUCUCUGAAGAUCUAGUGGACCAGUACUGUUGCAACAUCUUGACCCUGUCCAAGUCAAGUUUAAGACGACAUUAUGUUGACCGCGGGUAUACGCUCUGGUUUGUACAGUGCACGCAAGAACGCACUACGCCAGAAGCCCUGAUCUGAGACGCGCCCUAGGCAAAAUGCUAGACGCGCAGGGGUCGCGUCCCGCCUCACGCGCGUCUCAGAUUACCAAAACGCAAGACGCGCCUCACUUACGGCUCGUCUCGCCUUGGCUUCACACAGGCUUCCCUGGGAGCCAAAUGCAAGACACGCUCUAGGCUAGGCGGUCUCGCAUUAGUCUAAGAUGAGAGACGCGCCUCACUUACGCCGCGUCUCGCCUUGGCUUCACACAGGCUUCCCUGGGAGCAAAAUGCGAGACGCGCUCUAGGCUAGGCGGGUCUCGCAUUAGUCAAAGAUGGGAGACGCGCCUCAUUUACGGCGCGUCUCGCCUUGGCUUCACACAGGCACUCCUGGGAGCCAAAUGCGAGAUGCGCUCUAGGCUAGGCGGGUCUCGCAUUAGUCACAGAUGGGAGACGCGCCUCACUUACAGCGCGUCUCGCCUUGGCUUCACACAGGCGCCACUGGGAGCCAAAUGCGAGACGCGCUCUAGACUAGACGGGUCUCGCAUUAGUCACAGAUGGGAGACGCGCCUCAUUUACGGCUCGUCUCGCUUUGGCUUCACACAGGUGGCCCUGGGAGCCUAUUGAGAGUCGCGCCCCAAGCGAGGCGUGUCUUGCAUUAGUCUACCUCCAACAGGGGCCUUUUCUUUCCCCAGCUGCAUCCUGGAACUAGGCAGGAUUUGGCAGCUGCAAUCAAAUACCUGCAAAAGAUUUCAAUUCACAGAAUUCACCGCAAUCAUCGCACGCAUCCAUACAAUUCACAUAGUGCGAUACACACAAGGAAAGAUGGUAUUAUAUAACACAUGUACAAUCAAUUAGCAACAAUGAUCGAUAGGAACAAUAGAGUACAUGCAAAGCAAGUCUCUCAAUCUAGCUCAAUGUCGCGGGCCGUGCUAUCGUGGAUGGAACUCCCCCUUUGUGUUGACCACCUCCAUCAUGAGGAAUCCCGCUAGCCUCUCUCGGAUAUCCUUCACGUUACCAAGCGUCGUUUGAUUGAAAUAAUCAUCUUCGUCCUUCGAAAUAUAAUUACAAGCAGUUAGAAUACAAGAUGAAGACAGAUUUUUUUUAAUUAUAACAUGUGAUAAUUCUUACCGUGAAAUCCGGUUUCUCUGCAACUAGAAGCAUGUUGUGGCAAACAUAGAACCCACAUGAGUUACCCGAGGGUUGCCGUGUGCACUACAUGUCAAAGAUAGAUAGAAAUUAGCAUUUUGCGACACUUAGAACCAAGAAAACAUCGUAAUAGUAAAGCGAUUUAGUUAUAGUAGUUACCGUCCACGCGGUGUGAUGUGUAAACGCAGCUUGACGUUGCUCUUUGUAUCCUUCUUUGGCCCUAAGAUGCCUGUCAAGAGACCUAAACACAGACAUCCGGAUGUUAUAUUACAAAUGCUUCUGAAAUGGGCAAAUGAUAAAAAACUAAAGCAAACAACAAACUUACUCGUCAAGGAUUGAGAUGACUAGAGAAUAAUCACGUAUCUGAGGCGCGCCCGACUCAUCUGAUGGAAUGCUCGAGUCAAGGUAGAAGACUUGCUUGCUCCUGACAUUGAUGAUGAGUGUAACCCAAUGGUUGCCUGGGUUGUACGGCACCACAAUGUGCUCCUUGUCAGCAUGUACUCCCAUGCACUUCACCAUGUACCUAACCAAGUUGAAAUGGAAACAAGCGGUUACAUGUGUUAAAUGGAAACAAGUGACUACAUGUGGCUACAAGUUGAAAUGAAAACAAGUUUAAUUGUUGCAUGUGCGCACCUGACCAAGCUAUCUCUAUCUGUCAGCAUAAAUGUCACCGUCAUCAGCUGUGGGUCAAUGUACCCACACUUCUUUCCGGUUCGACGCCUUGUCUCUUGUUGCAUGUGCCUACACGAUCCAUAUGAAUUGAAAUAGAAACGACUUAAAUUGUUGAACGUAUAUCAAAUGCAUUGAAAUGGAAAAAAGUCUUAAUCGACUUACAAUGCAAAGCACCGAAUGAGAGAAAGAUCCAAAGCGUCGAGGUUGAAAAGGUCGAACAAAUCGCUCCAGGCAACAAUAAAGAUGUUGCUGUUGCCCUCAAGCUGCAGAAAGUGCCGCUCUUCGUAUGACACCAUGAUUUCCUCGGCUUGAUUGACAUUUUGCAUGUAGUACUUGUGCAGGUCCAUACAAUAUGGACCUGCUGCCCGAAGCUCAGAGACACUAAGCAAGGCCUUUCCAACCCUGUACUUUGGAUUCUCAGAAGUGUAAGCCCUUGUGACCGGUUGUUUUAUCCGCUCCACCUUUUUCUUACCCUCUGAGAUCUCCCGCUUCGUCGCCAUCGGCCUACUCUGCUUCUUCCUCACAGGAUUAGCCUUGCUUGGCUUCUUGGGAGCGGUAGCUGGCUCUGUCGGAACAGGUAGAGGGGGGGUAACCUGAGGCUGAGUAGGGACAGGAGGAUGCGGUUCCGAUAACGAUUCCCGUGUAUCCGGCAGCUGUGGGCAUGGCUCAGAAAACGUCGGUGGCACUGCAGCACUCUGUGGCUGAGGUUGACUGGUCGGUACUGAAUCUGCAUCUGCUGGAUCAAUAUGAAUACCAGCUCUCCGCCACUGAACCCUUCUCGCAACUGCAUCCCGCAAAGUGGUGGUCAUGUCAUCUGGUGGCACCUCCAGCUUGAUAUUCUUAGCAAACUCAUGCACGUAGUCAAUCUUGACCACAGCACAAUCAGCCCUGACCUGCAACAACAUCAACAACAACAACAAAGCCUUUAAAUCUCAAGCAAGUUGUACAUACCAAAAGAAAAAAAACAAA